GAAAGCCUCUACAGUACUGGUUGUCUGCAUUCCAAGAAAAAUGCAUUACGACCAAAGCAGUUGAAGAGAAAAGCUACUAAGAUGGCCAAGAUAAGAGAGGGCUUACCACGGAAGGGAAAAUAAAACAACUUGGCAUGCUUAACCCUGCAAAACAGAGAGGAUAUAUGUUGCCUCUUUUGAAAGAGAUUGGAAAGAUAAAGAUAUUGGGAAGGUAAACAGCAUUGAUGGAAAAGUGAUGUUCAGGCAACAGGAAACUUCCUUUGGCACAAGAAUGCUGUUAAUGCAUGUAAAUUGGAAAGCUGAAACAGCUUUCUAGCCAUCAGGGCCAAAGUUGCUUAUCUGUCUGGUGCCUGCUCAGUGAAAUCAUUUAUUUGACAUAACUACCUGUGAGAGCAGCAAGCAGUAUUCAUUGCCUAGGGAGGUCUUUUUCAAUCUUACAUUGGCCAAAUUAAUGCUAUUAAAAGUGUAAAUAAUGUAAUGAAUUCUAAUCAUGGUCUUUUUCUUUUUUUUUUGGCUGAGUAUAUAUUGAAAUGAACUGGUACGUUCAUAAUUCGAAAAAAAUAUAUUUGAGAUAGACAUAUGUGAGUAAGGCCUUGUUUUGAAGUGCAAGAUGAAUUUUGGAGACAGCAUUUUAAUGUCUGGAGUUUUUUCAUCCCAAAGAAUGAGUAUCAAUCUUUUUUUUUCAUCUCUUUAAAUUUCAGACUCAUGAGUUGGGAGAAGAGGAGGGAGUUUUCACAGAUUCCUUCUUGCACUUGUUGGUGA
rnacentral:lncRNA from 1 species